AUUGAACGCUGGCGGCAUGCCUUACACAUGCAAGUCGAACGGUAACAGGGAGCUUGCUCCGCUGACGAGUGGCGAACGGGUGAGUAAUGUAUCGGAACGUACCAUUCAGUGGGGGAUAACGUAGCGAAAGUUACGCUAAUACCGCAUAUUCUGUGAGCAGGAAAGCAGGGGAUCGCAAGACCUUGCGCUGAUUGAGCGGCCGAUAUCAGAUUAGCUAGUUGGUGAGGUAAAGGCUCACCAAGGCGACGAUCUGUAGCGGGUCUGAGAGGAUGAUCCGCCACACUGGAACUGAGACACGGUCCAGACUCCUACGGGAGGCAGCAGUGGGGAAUUUUGGACAAUGGGGGCAACCCUGAUCCAGCCAUGCCGCGUGAGUGAAGAAGGCCUUCGGGUUGUAAAGCUCUUUCGGCCGGGAAAAAUCGCAUCAGUUAAUACCUGGUGUGGAUGAUGGUACCGGAAUAAGAAGCACCGGCUAACUACGUGACCG
rnacentral:rRNA from 1 species